rnacentral:rRNA from 1 species
AUAAUAUUAACAACCGUUAGCGGUGGAUCACUCGGUUCGUGUAUCGAUGAAGAACGCGGCUAAUGCGAUAAUUGGUGCGAAUCGCAGCGCCUAGUGAGUCAUGUAAAUUUUGAAUGCAAAUGGCAUACUGGAGCAAUAUCCAGUAUAUGUCUGUUUGAGUGUCG